UGCUGCAUAAUUACGAAUGGGACUAUGUAGAAUAAGUAGUUAUUUUCAGAAUGUAGAUACCUAGUGUAUAGUAUAAACAGGGAUAGAUAAUUGUUGAAAAGGUGGUUCAGCAGAUAGAAUGGAUGAAUAGUCAGGAAAAGUAGUUAUCAUCUAUAGUAUAAGAGUUGGUAUCUCGGGGUAGUAUAAGGAGGAUGAGAGAGGGAAAAAAAAUGCCUGACUGUGAGAGUUGUAAGCCAAGGGCUAGACUGCGAUAGUACUGAGCGAGGGAUAAGCUUGGUGCUAUCUCUUCUUCGUAGUUUUCUUGUUUCUUUUGUAUUAGUGUUGAUUCUAGUCAAGAGAAUCGAUUUAAUGAAUUAGUGUUUGAUUUAUGAAGUUGUUUAUGAAACACUGUUUAUCAAUCGUUGUGAAAGAUUGAGGACAUAUGGAAGUUUCCAGUCACUGUUUAUCGCAAGGUUGUAAAUUUAGUGGAGAAGAAU
rnacentral:lncRNA from 1 species